AACGAACGCUGGCGGCGCGUCUUAACCAUGCAAGUCGAGCGGCAGGCAGCAAUGCCGAGAGCGGCGGACUGGUGAGUAACACGUGGAUAACGUACCCCGAUGCCCGGGACAGCCUGUAGAAAUAGAGGGUGAUACCGGAUAGAUCACUGUAUACGGAAGGUAGACAGCGGGAAAGGAGCUUCGGCUCCGCGCCGGGAACGGUCUGCGGCCCAUCAGCUGGACGGCGGGGUAACGGCCCGCCGUGGCGAGGACGGGUAUCCGGCCUGAGAGGGCGGACGGACACAUUGGGACUGAGAUACGGCCCAGACUCCUACGGGAGGCAGCAGGUAAGAAUAUUCCGCAAUGGGGGAAACCCUGACGGAGCGACGCCGCGUGAACGAAGAAGGCCGGAAGGUUGUAAAGUUCUUUUCUGUCCGAGGAAUAAGUGUAGGAGGAAAUGCCUGCAUGGUGACGGUAGGGCAGGAAUAAGCACCGGCUAAUUACGUGCCAGCAGCCGCGGUAACACGUAAGGUGCGAGCGUUGUUCGGAAUUAUUGGGCGUAAAGGGCAUGCAGGCGGGUCGCCAAGCUUGGUAAGAAAUACCGGGGCUCAACUCCGGAGCUAUAUUGAGAACUGGCGAGCUGGAGUUGCCGAAGGGUAUCCGGAAUUCCGCGUGAAGGGGUGAAAUCUGUAGAUAUGCGGAAGAACACCGAUGGCGAAGGCAGGAUACCGGCGGACGACUGACGCUGAGGUGCGAAGGUGCGGGGAGCAAACAGG
rnacentral:rRNA from 1 species